UUAUUUUUUUGAAGGAGGGACGGUUAGCACUCCCCUUGAUAAGGAAGGAAUGGCAUCUGGGCCUCAACACCCGUACGGUUAAGGCACAGCCGCCUACUUUGCGGCGCUUAGCCUCAUUUUUAU